AACCUAUGGUCUUUGUAGGUUCUAUUCAACAACUAGUUUGUUGAAGACAGACACUUACGGAUCAUCCUUCUGGAGGGUACUUCUGCGCUUGAUUGCGUGGUUGUACAAUUCAGAUCAUUUACUGUGAGUAAAUCAGAGUGUUCAAAGCAGGCUUUUACGCUUGUAUGCAUUAGCAUGGAAUAAUAAGAUAGGACUUCAUCUUAUCUUGUUGGCCUAAGAUUGAAGUAAUGAUUAAAAGGGAUAGUUGGGGGUGCUAGUAUUUAACGGUCAGCGGUGAAAUGCGUAGACCCGUUAAAGACUAACUCAUGCGAAAGCAUU
rnacentral:rRNA from 1 species